UUGCCUUUCCAAACACACAGUUAUAAUUCUAGUCUGCCUGAGGCAUCCAUCGCUCUGAAGGGAAAUCAGGGUCUGCUGCAGAAGGGAUACAAAGAAUAAGACCCAGGUGAUGUUCAGCUUUUGACAUUGAAAAUUCAGCUUUUGCCUAGCCCUGAGUCCUGAAGAGUUUCUCCUAUAUAGUUUUCUAAUAAUUUUUGUCUAAAGUUUUUGUCUAAAAAAUCAGCUGACAAUCCCUAACAAUCAGUUGUUUGCCAGGUGAUUAGCUGCCUCUCUACCUUCCUCGUGGUCCGAUAAACUGCAGGAACGUAUGGAAUCAUUCACACUUAGCUUGUGCUGGGCCAGGCCGCGCAUGUCACCUUGAGUUUCGCUGGCCGCUGACAAGACCUCAAGCUGCCAAGAGCUGCCGCACUAUCCUUCCCCGGCUCCCAUUUUAAUGGAAGGGGUCGCUGGCAGGGCCAGGAGAUUAAGAGCAUGCCCCUUAUUCAGCUUUAUCUCAGCAAGUAUUCAUAGUUUUAGAGUUGCAAGGGACCUUCUCAAAGGGAACAGGCUAAAACCAAGGAAUGUUCAGUGAUUUUUUUCCAAUUUACAGAAUCUUCAGCUUCUGACUCCCAGGCUGAGCUCUUUUCAUUGUCCCCACAAAGCACCAGCCAGUGGACUACUGGUCACUCCUCCUGGCCUGCCGCAGCCUCUGUCCCAUAACAGGGAGCAAACAGCUGUGGCGGCUCAGAGAAUCCGCCAGGUCGUAGCAAUUUAAUCCAGUGCUCUCAUGGGGAUCUGCUGUGAGCAUCUCAUGCAGGGGCUCCGAGCUGCCAGCUUUCCCUCCGAGCUGCCUUCAGCGUCCUGUCCUCGCCCUCACAGCCUGGGAGAUAGGAACAGAAGUACAGCUUGCUACUGGAUAAGAGCACCACCUACUUCGACGAGAGAGGGGAGAUGGCUGAUUUUCCCUCUGCCGGGGGUCCCACUAAAAGCUGUGGAGCUGAGAUUCAUGAAAAUCAAUCGCAGAGUCUAAUCCUGUGAGUGGCAGAAUGACAACCAGAAUGGAAUUCUCAAACUUUCAGAGUGUCUUUUGUUAAAAGUGGGAGCAUUAAUUUGGAAGGAACAAGAUCCUAAAAAUUGGAAUGGGUACAUAUGAGCAUAUUGAUUCAGCUGGAACCGUGAAACCCUGUAUUCUGCUGAGUCAGCUUUGCCAGUGGAAGGAGCAGCUUCACCCUCCUCUGACGAGGUUAACCUUCCUUUGCCUGAGGAACUUGUAAUGGCCUCUCUUGAGGUAGUAGCUCGACAAGACUGCUGAUUCUCCACCAUGCCCGGGAUCCAAACGCACAAAACCUGGGCCACCCAAGUGGAGUGCACAGAACUUUAGCCACUCGGUUACAGUGCCGGGCCCUUGCUAUGUUGUGUUUUUAUUUUCAUUUGUCUCAAGUUAUUUUUAGAUUUACUUUGGAUUUCUUCUUUGACUCAUUGGUUGUUCAGGAAUGUCUUAAUUUCCGAUAUUGGUGAUUUUCCAAUUUGUAUUCUGUUAUUGAUUUUUCGUUUCAUCCCUCUGUUGUCAGAAAAGUUACUUGGAUAUCAGGCUUCUUAAAUUUGUUAAAAUUUUUUGGACCAUAACGUGUGA
ensembl:lncRNA